rnacentral:miRNA from 1 species
AUGUAUAUGCACAUGCAUGUGCGAGUGUGUGCAUUGCAUGUGCAUGUGCAUGAACAUGCAUGAGUGUGCAUGCACACACAUGCAUACGUACAUAUGUACACAUGUGCACGCAUAUGUAC